AUCGCUUCUUGGCCUUUUGGCUAAGAUCAAGUGUAGUAUCUGUUCUUAUCACUUUAAUAUCUGAAAAGUCCCCCAUCUGGGGACCGUAUAGUAAAUAGAUUUUUGAGAAUUGGGGCUGAUUUCUAAGCUUGCAUCAGUCGCCCUAUGCAUUGACCCAAUAUGGCAGUACCUUUUGAAGUAAUUUACAAAUG